GCCCGUUUAGCUCAGUGGUAGAGCGCGCCACUCGUAUAUCCGCGAUGGUGAGGUCGGUUGUUCAAUCCAGCCAAUGGGCA